rnacentral:rRNA from 1 species
AUUGAGCGCUGGCGGCAUGCCUUACACAUGCCAGUCGAACGGCAGCACGGGUGCUUGCACCUGGUGGCGAGUGGCGAACGGGUGAGUAAUACAUCGGAACAUGUCCUGUAGUGGGGGAUAGCCCGGCGAAAGCCGGAUUAAUACCGCAUACGAUCCACGGAUGAAAGCGGGGGACCUUCGGGCCUCGCGCUAUAGGGUUGGCCGAUGGCUGAUUAGCUAGUUGGUGGGGUAAAGGCCUACCAAGGCGACGAUCAGUAGCUGGUCUGAGAGGACGACCAGCCACACUGGGACUGAGACACGGCCCAGACUCCUACGGGAGGCAGCAGUGGGGAAUUUUGGACAAUGGGCGAAAGCCUGAUCCAGCAAUGCCGCGUGUGUGAAGAAGGCCUUCGGGUUGUAAAGCACUUUUGUCCGGAAAGAAAUCCUUGACUCUAAUACAGUCGGGGGAUGACGGUACCGGAAGAAUAAGCACCGGCUAACUACGUG